rnacentral:rRNA from 1 species
UACAGAGGUCUCAAGCGUUGUUCGGAUUCAUUGGGCGUAAAGAGCGUGUAGGCGGCCAGACAGGUCCGUUGUGAAAACUAGAGGCUUAACCUCUAGACGUCGAUGGAAACCGUCUGGCUAGAGUCCGGAAGAGGAGAAUGGAAUUCCUGGUGUAGCGGUGAGAUGCGCAGAUAUCAGGAAGAACACCCGUGGCUAAGGCGGUUCUCUAGUACGGUACUGACGCUGAGACGCGAAAGCGUGGGGAGCGAACAGG